AUUGAACGCUGGCGGCAGGCCUAACACAUGCAAGUCGAGCGGAUGAGUGGAGCUUGCUCCAUGAUUCAGCGGCGGACGGGUGAGUAAUGCCUAGGAAUCUGCCUGGUAGUGGGGGACAACGUUUCGAAAGGAACGCUAAUACCGCAUACGCCCUACGGGAGAAAGUGGGGGAUCUUCGGACCUCACGCUAUCAGAUGAGCCUAGGUCGGAUUAGCUAGUUGGUGAGGUAAAGGCUCACCAAGGCGACGAUCCGUAACUGGUCUGAGAGGAUGAUCAGUCACACUGGAACUGAGACACGGUCCAGACUCCUACGGGAGGCAGCAGUGGGGAAUAUUGGACAAUGGGCGAAAGCCUGGUCCAGCCAUGCCGCGUGUGUGAAGAAGGUCUUCGGAUUGUAAAGCACUUUAAGUUGGGAGGAAGGGCAGCAAGUUAAUACCUUGCUGUUUUGACGUUACCAACAGAAUAAGCACCGGCUAACUUCGUGCCAGCAGCCGCGGUAACAC
rnacentral:rRNA from 1 species